rnacentral:rRNA from 1 species
AUUGAACGCUGGCGGCAGGCCUAACACAUGCAAGUCGAACGAGUGGCGGACGGGUGAGUAAUGUCUGGGAAACUGUCUGAUGUAGGCGGAUAACUACUGGAAACGUUAGCUACUACCGCAUACCAUCGGAUGUGCCCAGAGGGGAUUAGCUAGUAGGGGGGGUAAAGGCUCACCUAGGCGUCGCUCCCUAGCUGGUCUGAGAGGAUGACCAGCCACACUGGAACUGAGACACGGUCCAGACUCCUACGGGAGGCAGCAGUGGGGAAUAUUGCACAAUGGGCGAAAGCCUGAUGCAGCAAUGCCGCGUGUAUGAAGAAGGCCUUCGGGUUGUAAAGUACUUUCAGCGGGGAGGCGUUACCCGCAGAAGAAGCACCGGCUAACUCCGUGCCAGCAGCCGCGGUAAUUC